rnacentral:rRNA from 1 species
UACGGAGGGUGCAAGCGUUAUCCGGAUUCACUGGGUUUAAAGGGUGCGUAGGUGGGCAGUUUAGUCAGUGGUGAAAUCUCCGGGCUUAACCCGGAAACUGCCAUUGAUACUAUCUGUCUUGAAUACCGUGGAGGUGAGCGGAAUAUGUCAUGUAGCGGUGAAAUGCUUAGAUAUGACAUAGAACACCAAUUGCGAAGGCAGCUCACUACACGAAUAUUGACACUGAGGCACGAAAGCGUGGGGAGCGAACAGG